CUUGGCACAAACCAACGAGAGUUGACGAUAAAAUUUAUGAAAAUACGAGCUCAUACGUUGAUGCAAAUGCUAGCCAGUACAAUUCCCAAUACGCGUGUUUUUUUUUUUAAGUUUGAGCACAAAAGAGAGUAGAUAUCCUGCUAGUUUUACCUUCCCCAAGAAGAUCUGCUUCGUAUGCACCAUGCCAGUUUAGUUGCAACACAGAUACUUUUUCCUUUUCUUUUUACCCUGCAAACAACUUUUAAUCAGCCAGGGCCCAGGGCCGCCUCUUCGAACGACUGCAGACUUGUUCACACGUGUAGAACGAUUUAUUGUCCACACGUGUAUGGAGAAUGAAGUUUAAAAAAAAUAUAAUUAAUCUUGUCUGGCACACUCAGAUCCAAUCAACAUUUGAGAGUCGGUAAACCCCUGUAGGGAACAAUAAGAUGCCGAAACUCACGGCGCAAGAAUCGAACUUUUGACUGAGCUAGACAAUUUUUGUCUACACUGCUUCUGCAGCCGACGGGUACGUAGUUAAUUCUCUUGCAGACACAUUAGGGUUUUGAGUUGAAAAGGGUUUUGUUUUUCAUUCAUACUAAGUGAAAAAGUCAAAUUGUGCUUGAGCCGAUGUCUUUGUCUGCCACUUAGUUGCAAGUGAAAAAGAAAAUUAAAGGAAUUUGUGAUCGGAAUCAGUAGAGGAAGAUUAGAUUUGACUUUGGUGGUUUUGGAGGAAGCAAUAAUGUGUUGAUCUUUUGGUCCUUUGUUUUGGUCUUUGUUCGAAGCAGUUAUUAUCUUUGACGGGAGAAGCAAUUUGUUGGUAUUGGGUGCACAAAUAGUUGAUCUGAUUUUACAAUAUAGUGUUGAAGAUUGACGGUUAAUUUAUGCUGCUAAAUUUGCUUGGUGCUAAGGACUCGGAUGUACCCAUCCCACUGAAUUUGCCUGGGGCUUGCCAUCCUUUUUGGACAGUUCUUGGUAAUUGGAUAUCGGUGGGCUCUUUGUGAUCCAGAUUCACCCAUUAGUAAGAGUUCGCCAGCUUAGGUGCAAGUUGAUCUUAUAGCUUCUGAAUUGCUUUUUGUGCACUUGCAUUAGUUUGCAACUGUGGUUUGGUGGUUCCAUUGAUUGCCAUCGUCUCGUUUGAUUUCAUGAUGAUUGGCGCAUGCAUAAACUUUGCGGGUUCAUCGAGACUUUCGUGUGGUACUAAAUAAAGUAAUUACUUUUUACUUCACGAGGCAGAACUUGAAUCUGAAACUGUUGGGUUUCCUGAAGCUAAUUGGAAAUCAUUUUAUUUUACAGACAGAGCUUGAACUUCAAGCAGACUGGACAUUAUUUUUCUCCACUCUGAUCUGAUUCAAGCUGUGAAGGAAAUAAAGUACAUUCAAAGAAGGGAAGAGCAUAUUCUUUUAGGCCAGAGCUAACCCAGACGCCGAUUUUUUCAAGUUUAUAUGUCCACUGGUUUCUAGUUAUCACUUCACAUAUAGCGUUGCCUUAAAUAUCCUAAUAUCGUGCAAUUCAGUUAUUGGAGGGCUUCAUCUGCACUGGACACCUAAGGUGUAAAAUAGUAAGAUCAGAAGUGGGUUUCUUGCUCAGAUUUUGAUACAAGGACUAAUUGUUAGAGCUUUUUUUAACAAUGACUUACUUAUUUUCAACGAAGCCCCUGUUUUGCUUCAUUUAUUGGAAAUGAAAACUUUAGUUCAGUUGUUAAGGUGUAACAAACUGAGAUUUUGAUUGCUUGGAAGGUUCAGAGUUCCGUGUACGGGUGAAGUUCUUUCGAUUUUGAGCUCAAUUGGCUCCGGGAUCGUGGAAUUGACCUAUGCAUCUUAGGGCACUAGACUAUAAAUCUCAGCUGCUGAGAAAUUCUACAGUGACAUAGCUGGAGCUGGGGAUCCUGAUGACCUGGAGAUUAUACCCUCCUUCAAGAGGAAUUGCUCUAGUCCUCUGAAUGGAAGUAGCAAAAUAGUUGCACCUCUACAUACCUGACAAAGGAACUUUUCCUACUUGGUACAGCAUGGACUGGAACAAGGAAGAGAUUUCAGCUGCUCCAAUUCUAAUGGCAAAGGGAAGUCCUCAAACUGAUACUUCUACAGAUGCUGAUACCGAUGGAAAGGACACUACAAAUGAAGCCUUGUAUAUUACUAAGCAGUCAAAGGAUGGAAUUGGAGAUCACAAGACUCUUCGCAGGCUAGCUCAGAAUCGUGAGGCUGCUCGAAAAAGUCGCUUGAGGAAGAAGGCUUAUGUGCAGCAAUUGGAGACAAGUCGGUUAAAGCUGACUCAACUUGAACAAGAGCUUCAGCGUGCUCGACAGCAGGGUUUCUUCAUUGCAGGGGGUUAUUCUGGAGAUCAAAGUCAUUCCAUGAGUGGAAAUGGAGCCUUAGCCUUUGACAUGGAGUAUGCACGUUGGUUGGAUGAACAUCAUAAGCAGGCAAAUGAUCUGAGAUCUGCAGUAAACUCACAUGCUGGGGACAACGAAUUGAGACUUUUAGUUGAUGGUGUCAUUGCACACUAUGAGGAAAUUUUUCGAUUUAAGAGCAUAGCAGCAAAGUCUGAUGUUUUCCAUAUGGUCUCUGGUAUGUGGAAGACUCCUGCUGAAAGAUUCUUUAUGUGGAUGGGAGGAUUCCGGCCAUCUGAACUUCUCAAGAUACUUAUUCCUUAUCUGGAACCAUUAACAGAGCAACAAUUGCAUGGUAUAUGCAGUCUACAAGAAUCAUCACAGCAGGCAGAAGAUGCCUUAUCACAGGGAAUGGAAGCUCUUCAGCAGUCCUUAGCAGAAACUCUUGCAUCUGGAUCCCUUAGUACACCCGGGCCUUCUUCAAAUGUAGCCAAUUACAUGGGACAAAUGGCAAUGGCAAUGGGCAAGUUAGGGACAUUGGAAAGCUUUGUCCACCAGGCAGAUAACUUAAGGCUACAGACUCUCCAGCAAAUGCAUCGAAUCUUGACAACCCGUCAAGCUGCUCGGGCUUUGCUUGCCAUAAGUGAUUAUUUCUCUCGUCUCCGUGCUCUUAGCUCUCUGUGGUUGGCUCGUCCCAAGCAGUAAUGUAGGUACUGUAUUCAGUGUAGCUCUUGGAAGUGGUUGUAAUAUUAUUGAAAGGGUUCAGACUCCAGAGAAAAAUUCUGUGCAAGGGUAGGCAUGUGCUAGAACAGAGGACCUAAGUAGACUUGUAUUUCCGUGCUGCUGUGGUUGGAUAAUUAAGUAUUCGUAUAUGGAUUCUGUUGUUGCAGGAUAAUGCACGGAAUCAAUAGCAAAUCGAGGGUAUAGAGACACCUGAAAUGAGGACCAUUUUUCAGAUAAAUUCCAAACUGAUUAAUACAGCGAUGAUUAAAGAAGGAUGCAUUACUGGGAUAGCUCUUCUUAACCGACAGCUGGUUUUGAAUUUUUGGAGUGAUGAAAAUUCUUGUCAUGACUUGAACCUCAGACCUUCUGCUCCAAUGAGUUACAGCUAACUAAACCCACUAUCACAUCAAGCAUACAUGAAUGGUAAAUAUUUGUCGUACUUAUAAAAGAUAAAAAUUGGAAACUGGCUGUGGUCAACCGUUAAACACUCUACUGGGAAAUGGGAACAAUCAGUAUCUGUAUUCUUUGGCUAUAACUUGGCGUGGACACAAACUAAACUAAUUUGCUGCGGGGUCUUCAACCAGUGUACCUAUUAAUUUAUUAUGAACCGGAAUUCUACUGGUGCAAAUGCUUAAUAUUUAAAUAUAUGCCAAGGAAGUUACUUA